GCGCGCAAAUUACCCAAUCCUGACACGGGGAGGUAGUGACAAUAGAUAACAAUACCGGGCGCGUUAGUGUCUGGUAAUUGGAAUGAGUACAAUCUAAAUCCCUUAACGAGGAUCCAUUGAAGGGCAAGUCUGGUGCCAG
rnacentral:rRNA from 1 species